rnacentral:lncRNA from 1 species
AUGAUUGCAGGUUGGCAUUCGAGGAACUGAAGAAGAGGUUGGUAACUGUACCCAUCAUUGUUGCACCCAACUGGGAGAAGCCAUUUGAGCUCAUGUGUGACGCGAGCGACUAUGCCAUAGGAGUACUCUUGGGGCAGCGAAAGGAUAAGAUGAUGCACCCGAUCUACUACGCAAGAAAAAUACUAAGCUGUGCAUAGCUAACUACACAGUGACGAAAAAGGAGAUGUUAGCAGUGGUGUUUGCUUUUGACAAGUUCCGAUCAUAUCUGAUUGGUUCCAAGGUAAUUGUAUACACUGACCAUGCAACUCUCAGGUACCUAAUUAAGAAGAAGAAGUCUAAGCCGUGCCUGAUUCACUGGGUGUUGCUGUUGCAAGAAGUUGACCUCAAAAUUUGUGACCGUAAGGGCAGAGAAAAUCAAGUCACUAAUCAUCUAUCACGACUUGAAGGAGCUGAAAAAUCAGUCGAGGUUGAAAAGAUUUUGGAAACCUUUCCAGACGAGCAGUUGCUUGCAACUAGUCUUGAGGAUGCGCCAUGGUAUGUAGAUUUUUCAAACUACCUGGCUUGCGGUAUUGUUCCAUAUGACCUUUCAUCUGUCCAAAAGAAAAAGUUCUUUCGUGAUUGCCGCAUGUAUUAUUGGGAUGAACCUCAUUUGUUUAGAAUAUGUGUUGAUAAUUUAUCCGGAGAUGUGUCCCCGAGAUAGAAGAAUCUUCAAUUUUGCAGGCUUGUCAUGCAUUAGCAUACGGAGGAUAUUUUGGAGGGGUCAGGACAGCUGCGAAAGUGCUAGAGACUGGAUUCUUUUGGCCAACUUUGUUUAGAGAUGCACACCUCUAGGUAAAGGGCUGCAAUGAAUGCCAACGGGCCGGAAACAUUUCCCGUCGCCAUGAGAUGCCGAUGAACCCGAUUCAAGAGGUAGAGGUGUUUGAUUUUUGGGGUAUUGACUUUAUGGUUCCAUUUGUCAGCUCAUUUGGUAAUAAGUACAUCCUUGUUGUUGUGGACUACGUGUCUAAAUAGGUAGAGGGUGCAGCAUUGCCCACUAAUGAUGCAAGAGUGGUGGUAGGAUUUCUGAAAAAGAACAUAUUCACCAGGUUUGAGACACCAAGAGCGAUCAUCAGUGAUGAAGGCAGUCUCUUCUGCAAUAGAGCCUUCGAGAAACUACUUGCAAAAUAUGAUGUACGCCACAAGGUAGCCACCCCUUACUAUCCAUAAACCAGUGGGCAAUGUUGAAGUGUCCAACAGGGAAAUAAAAAGUGUACUAACCAAGACGGUGAAUGCCACACGAACUGAUUGGGCAAAGAAGCUUGAUGAUGCACUCUGGGCCAAUAGAACUUCGUUUAAAAUACCAAAAGGUAUGUCCCCAUACAAGUUGGUAUUUGGGAAGGCAUGUCAUCUACCUGUAGAGCUAGAACAUCGAGCGUGGUGGGCACUAAAACAAUUGAACACGGAUCCUGAUGCAGCUGCACAAAAUCAACUUACAGAGUUGCAUGAGCUGGAAGAAUUCAGAUAUCAAGCCUUUGAAAGCAUUGGGCUGGCUGAGAGCUUUGGGGUGCGCAUGCCAUGUGAACCCCAACACUAUCUCCGACCAGGAGUGAGCCUUCAGGGAAGUUCCUUUACCUCACUGCUCUUUCAAUUUUUAAGCCAUGGGGACAUGCCUUCAUUUAUAAGUGUAGGGUGGGGGAUACUUCAUUCCAUGUAUGUAGUUGUAUCAUUUUAAUGUUAGUUUUGUUUUGUUUUAGUUGGCUUGGAUAGUUUUGGUGUUGAGUAUGAGUCAUUAGUUUAAAGUAGAUAAGUGAAUUUUCCCAAUGACAGAUCCCUUUCGGCGGGGUUCUUGAGGGACUAAGUCGAAAAUGAAAAAAAAUUUGGAAAUAUGUGGACUCUUCCUGAUGACGGAUCCUUUAGACAAUUUUCUUGAGGGAAGUUAGUGUAGAGAAAAUACCAAAAAGAUUUUUUUAGGUAGUGUAGUAGCUCCCCCUUGGUUUUUCUUUAUGCCACGGUUCUUUUCCAAGGGUUUAAACUUGAAUCAUGUGUAGGCAAUUUUUUUUAGUAUUUCAUUUUUUAUUGGUAGAUUAGGUUUAAAUGGGCUACGAUCUAGAGAAUCAAAAGAGAACCCAUAGCGUUGACACACCUGAACAAAAUAGAUACUAGUGUGUAACGCUUAGUCUUAGUUGUUGACUCUCACUAAAGUGCUUUAAUUUGUAUGUUUGUCACUGACUUGAAUACUCAUAAGGAGUGUCUCGAUGAGUUAAUCUGGAAUGAGUCAUAUGCCAUGUGUGGUGAGGUUUUGUGUAGUCUAUAUAUUGUACUUGUGUCUAGAACUUGCCUGGAAAAAUAAUGAAGCGGGAGCAUAAGCAAUCGCCAAAUUACCUAGACUUAGCCUAUUAUCAGAAUUUCAGUUCACGGGAUGAUUGCCAUAAGUAUAUUUAUCAGAUUAUUUAAAAAUAAAUUAUAAAUAAUUACAUAAGUUAGUAGAUAAUAUUUUUAUGAAUAUUUUCACGUACUAAGUUAGUAGACAAUGAUAAUUCUGUUCUUUUCACGUUUAUUCCAAAUUUAUGAUUUAGAUACUGUUGGCAAUCUGAUUAUUUAUUUGAUAAAUUUGUGUGGUGAGGUUUUGCAGGUGAUUCUCGGUUUGAAAAAGGAUUUUAGGCUUUCUUUGAUCUUUUUGAGCUUAAUUGCUUACCACAGAUAAAUUAUAUCCCUAGUAAACCCUUUUGAGCCUAUACACUUUUAUUUGGCACCCACAUUACAAGUAUAUACUAUUUCUAUUCAUUGACAUUGUUUUGAUCCCUUUUACCUCUUAAAGCACUUUAAUUUUGAGUUGAGCGAUAAAAGACGUAAGAAGGAACUAAGUGUGGGGUGACUUUUGAGUGGAACCAAUAAAAGGAAGAAAGGUGCACUUGUUUUAUUAAAUAAUUCACCACUAGCGAAAAUUGAAAAGGAAAAAAAUAGACAUGAAUACAGUGUUGUCUUGUUCCUGCUAGUGCAUAUGAAUGAAUGUAGUGCUUAAGUAGAAGGGAGCAUUUUUGGGGUGAUAUUUUUUGUAAAAGUGAAGUGGAUUGAAGAAUUUGCACUUAAAGUUGAUUAGGUGGUGUCUUAAAUAUAUUCUACCCAUCCCUUAGCCCACAUUACAACCAUGAAAAAGACCUAAUUGAUUUUAGAUCGAGCGAGCCUACAUUAGUAGAGAUUUACACUAAGGGAAAGCUUUUGGUACCAAUUGCAUGCAUGUGACUUCUGUUGUGAGUGUGAGAGAUUUUUGUUGAUAUAUGUCAGGGUGAAAUUCGAAUGUGUGAAUUGAUUCUACUUUCUUUGCUGUGAUUGUGAGGGCAUGUGAUUCCUGAAGGAAAGGCAAGUCAUGACUUCUGCGUAGAGUGCUUUGAGAAAGUGUGAAUAUUGCUUGGCAUUUGAGAGUCGACUUUUGAGGCUGAGAUUGUUCACUACUAGGUGUAGCAUAUGUGAAUUGUUCUGGGUGUAAGGCGUUAAGGGAAAUUGUUGAGUGGAACCUCUAGAGAGUAUAGUUUGAUUGCUCGAGGUCGAGCAAUGGGUUAAGCGUGGGAUGUUGAUAAUAGUCAAAAUUGUUGAAUGGAACCUUUAUAGAGUAUAGUUUGAUUGCUCGAGGACGAGAAAUGAAUUAAGCAUGGGGUAUUGAUAAUAAGCUAAGUCUAGGUGAUUUGGCGAUUGCUUAUGCUCCCACUUGAUUAUGUUUCAAUGUCAUACGAUGGCUAAAUGAUGAAAAAUAGGCUCUAAUUGGGAAUUUUACACAUUGCAGGAUGGUGCCUAUAUGAUGCUUUAAAGUUGUGAUUGGAGCAAGAGAUACCCCUCGGAGUUAAGUGCGUGCAAAGACGAGAUAAAGAAUGAAAGAAAAAAAUGACCUGAACUAGUGUGAGCUCUAGCACGUUCAUGCUAGUCCAGAAGAGGGAAGCAGAAUGCCAGGAGACUAGCGCGAACAUUAGCGCGUUCGCGCUAGUCCCAGUCUUGGAAAACGUCUGUUUGGGGAAAAAUAGGAAACUUCAAGGAAAAUUCACUUAACCUAUACAAAGUCAAGCUCGCCCAAGGGUUAAGGAGGAAAAAAUUUUGAGAUUACUUUUGGAAGAAGAAAAAGUGUGAGAGAUCACCCAAAACAUCACAGUUCUUUUUCUUUUCUAUUUUUCUUGAAAUUCUUCCAUUAUGAAUCAUCUAUUAAUUUUAUCUUCCGUUGUUAUGAGUAGCUAAAUACGUUAACCUAAGGAUUUGGUGAAACCCGUUGGGGAUGACUUGGUUGUUAUAUUGAUAUAGUUUUGAAUUAGUUGUUAAUCUCUAUUUGUUCAUC